rnacentral:lncRNA from 1 species
AGUGUAGGAGGGUUCCCUUUUCUCCACACCCUCUCCAGCAUUUAUUGUCUGUAGACUUUUUGAUGAUGGCCAUUCUGACAGGAAACAUCUGAGGAGUUUUCUUUCUUUCUUUCUUUUUUUUUUUUCUUUUUUGGUCUUUUUAGGGCUGUACCUGCAGCAUAUAGAAGUUCCCAGACUAGGGGUCAAAUUGGAGCUAUAGCUGCCAGCCUGCACCACAGCCACAGCAACAUGGGAUCUGAGCCACAAGUCUUAAAACCUACACCAUAGCUGCAUCUCUGACCUACGCCAUAGCUCAUGGCAAAGAGGGAUCCUUAACCCACUGAGCGACACCAGAGAUCAAACCCACGUCCUCAUGGUAUACUAGUUGGGUUUGUUACUGCUGAGCCAUGGUGGAAACUCCCAAGACACGUUUGAAUUUUGAGGGAGGCAGAAAUCAGGCUGGUUGGUUCCUACAUGAAGCUAUUUCUAACGCAGCCCAUGAAAAGAAGAGACACAUAAUUUCCCUUGUGGACAGAUUGCUUUAAAAUCUGCACCCUCUCUUGGACGGGUGAUGCCAAUUUCCCUGGGGCUGGGGUCCUCAGCAAAGAAUUGUUCUUGUUUGCAAUGUCUCUCCUCUGAGUCUGAAUUCAUACGUUGCCUCAGAGCCAUACAGUUUGCCUUCACAUAAAAUCCUCCAGCAGUCGUAGGAGAUCGGACACAUCCUUGAUAUAUUUCCAAGAACCCAUGUCUCAGCAGCAAAGUAGACCUCUUGAUACUUUGAGUGAUUUAAGAAAUAAGCCUUUGGGACCCCCCCCUCCAAAAAAAAAAAUACUAAACAGCAUCAUUCCAGGAAAAACGUAGGGCUGGUGCCAUUGCCAUUUAUUCCUGUAAAAUCUAGGAGGAAAAUGCCAUUUUUCAAAUGUAAGCUCAAAUCAUUUCCUUUGAAGGCCGUCUUUAAAAUACCUCUCACCAAGUCUAGUGCCUCUGAAUGUGGAUGACAAACACGGUUAGAAGCAAUGAACCGUUCCCUGAUUUUUCUUUUUUUUUUUUUUUUGUCUUUUUGCCAUUUCUUGGCCCGCUCCCGCAGCAUAUGGAGGUUCCCAGGCUAGGGGUCCAAUCGGAGCUGUAGCCACCGGCCUUCACCAGAGCCACAGCAAUGCGGGAUCCGAGCCACGUCUGCAACCUACACCACAGCUCACGGCAAUGCCACAUCUUUAGCUCACUGAGCGAGGCCAAGGAUCGAACCCGCAACCUCAUGGUUCCUAGUCGGAUUUGUUAACCACUGAGCCACGAUGGGAACUCCCGUUCCCUGAUUUUUCAACAAUGGCAGUGCUUUCUGGGAGGUGAGGCUUUGAGCUUUUGGACCCUUAGGGGCUUGGUUUUGGAAUGGAAGACAGGCCCCUCUGAAUGGCACAUUAGUUACACAGAGAGUAACCUCAUUCAUUUAAAGAGACCCAGGUACAGUAGCAGCAGAUCGUGUAAUGAGAUACUGUUGCUUUGACCAUUCAGAGGACAGAAUAGGGCAGUGUUCUCCACUGCUGUAUCUCCUGGGUUGUGCUCUAUGUAUACGUCCAGUUCCUAGGUAGGAGGGUGCAUGAAGUGGGGGCAACAGGACCGUUUGGGUGAUUUCUUACCGAUAGCCUUGGAGGCAGAGAACAAGAAAUAAAACACGAGUUUUCAUUAGAGCAAAAGUAGCAUCUCCAGCAUAGGUUGACCAAGCUCUAACUCCUAAGGGGAGUGUUGCCUGAGUCAUCCUUGUUGCGGCUGGGGUGGGGGGGACAGGAUUCUAGUGAUUUUAAUAUAACCAAGCGCCUUCUCUUUGAUGUUAUUUGCCCUGGAGAGAUCCAAUAUUACAGCGAUGGAUGGCCGCUAUGACUAAACCACAGACCAGGCUGAACUUCAAGUACAAACGAUUCCUUUCUUGCUAGGGAUCACGUCCUGACCCCGUGAAUGACAACACGGACAUUCGAGAAGAACAGAUGCAUAUUUUAAUGAGUGCCAUUAUAAUGGGAAAGCCAGGGACUGGAGGGGAACACAGGGGCAUAGAAAAUUUAGGUAGAGAAAACUCCUUUAGCCGCAGGAUUACUUCUGUCAAAGUUAUGAAAAUCAGGAGGCAUUCCUUUAGUGCACUUCAGGAAAAUACUCAAAAAAUGAUCAUUUGUUUGCCACCGUUAGUCUUGUUCAAGGACCAUCCCAUGGUUUUCCAAAGGAAAUCACUUUGACGCAGAGUCUUUGAUUUUGGAAGCAACGUAGUGUUAGCAUCAGGACUGGAUUAUCCCUUCCAAUAUGCCAGCCAUUUUAAUAUUUUUACCUUUCAUCCUCUAUAAAAUGAUAUGCAGUAAAUAAGCAUCCUGUUUACGUCACAGUUUUAUACGAAGAUAAAAUUAUAAAUUAUACAAUUAUGCCAUUACUUCAAACCUAAUUCGUAGAGAAAUUUUACACAUGAAAUUUCAAUCACUUGGUAAGCCACUGCCUGAAGCUUCUUGAAUAGGGAACGAAAGGUGUUUGUUAAUCAUUAAUGAUUUAGACAGCGUGAAAUUUGUUAUGGCAAACAUCCAGUUAGUUGGAAGGAAUGGUAAAGACACUUUUCAUCCUUGCAUAGGAAAAGAACUCUAGAAGUCAUACAGUCCUAGGGUACGUAUAUAACAUUAGCUCAUCAAAGGAAAGGAGGAAGCUUUGAGAAUGAAAACGGUUGCUAUUUAAUAUUUUGUUAGGGAGAGUUCCUCGGUGGCUCAGUGGGUUAAGGAUCCAGCAUGGUCACAGCUGUGGCAUGGGUUUUGUCCCCAGCCCAGGAACUUAUGCCAUGAGGCACAGCCCCCAUCUCCCCAAAAAAAGAAGGAUAGCCUGGAGGGUAACAGGGAAAUAAAACCUUCAGUACUAGCAAACUAAAUGAAAACAUUUUUUUUUAAUUGUUAGGACAGCAGGCAUAAAUUGGGAAGUCAGGUUUUAUUCACAUACCUAUGUUACCCCAAGGCAUCUGCUGGUCUGGAUAAGUGAUGUCCUUAGGAGAAACAGGGACUAUUCAGAGGAUAUUCCCAAGGUCAACCUGUCAUGGCUAACUUUGAAGCUUCAUUCUACCUGACUCAUGGUUCACUGCAGUUUAUUACACACUACUGAGUUGCAAAUGUGACGUUGCUCAGUGAGGUGAGCAACUUCUUCCAGUUCUUACACAGCUCUUUAUCUCUUAAAUUCCUGUAAUGUUCUAGAAAUAGAGCUGAGUCACUGUGAUCAGGAACUGCACUGUGUUGAAUUAGCAGUCAAAACCAUACUCUAUCC